rnacentral:rRNA from 1 species
AUUGAACGCUGGCGGCAGGCCUAACACAUGCAAGUCGAGCGAGCGGCGGACGGGUGAGUAAUGUCUGGGAAACUGCCUGAUGGAGGGGGAUAACUACUGGAAACGGUAGCUAAUACCGCAUACCAUCAGAUGUGCCCAGAUGGGCUUAGCUAGUAGGUGGGGUAACGGCUCACCUAGGCGACGAUCCCUAGCUGGUCUGAGAGGAGGACCAGCCACGCUGUAACUGAAACACGGACCAACAUCCUACGGGAGGCAGCAGUAGCGAAUAUUGCACGAUGGGCAAAAGCCUGAUGCAGCAAUGCCGCGUGUGUGAAGAAGGCCUUCGGGUUGUAAGGCACUUUCAGCGGGUAGGCGUUACCCGGAGGAGAAGGACCGGCUAACUCCGUGCCAGCGGCCGCGGUAGUAC